rnacentral:misc_RNA from 1 species
UCUGGAUUCCGUAGAAAACGGCAACGAGGAAGACGACACGGAGGAAUAUUAAACGUACAGAUGACGAGGAUUUCAUCGUUACGGACUAUAAAUUGCUUAAUGUGCGUAGAGAUAAAAGAGAAGAAGCCUUAAACAGCUCAAUGUGUUUUGCAUUCCGAUGCUGAAUUGAUGUCCGCCCACUGUGUUUGUAAUCGUGGAAUUCCCAUUCUUUUUUUAUUGCUAUUAUUUUUUUUUAUGUUUAUUUUGAAUAUUUAUUAUUAUCAUUAUUUCAAUUUUCUGUUUAUGUGCUAGUUAUUUAACUUUUUUGUAGCUUUUAUUUUAAUUUGAUGCUGUGCAUUAUCCAACUUAUAAUUUUACUGUAAUUUUGAUUUUUAACUUUUUUACAUUUUAUUUUUCCUUUCAUAGGCAACUUUAUAAUAAAGUGAGUUUCAUAAUCAUUUGUGAAAUAAAACAAACGUUUGUGCAAUGUUGAAAUAAGGAUG